AUUGAACGCUGGCGGCGUGCUUAACACAUGCAAGUCGAUCGGGCAACAGGUGUAGCAAUACAUGCUGACGAGAGGCGGACGGGUGAGUAAUGCUUGGGAAUCUGCCUAUUAGGUGGGGGACAACCCGGGGAAACUCGGGCUAAUACCGCAUACGCUCUACGGAGGAAAGCCGGGGACCGCAAGGCCUGGCGCUAAUAGAUGAGCCCAAGUCGGAUUAGCUAGUUGGA
rnacentral:rRNA from 1 species